rnacentral:rRNA from 1 species
GUGGGGAAUCUUCCACAAUGGACGAAAGUCUGAUGGAGCAACGCCGCGUGAGUGAAGAAGGGUUUCGGCUCGUAAAGCUCUGUUGUCGGGGACGAAUGUGCAGUAUUUGAAUAAAGUACUGCAAUGACGGUACCUGACGAGGAAGCCACGGCUAACUACGUGCCAGCAGCCGCGGUAAUACGUAGGUGGCAAGCGUUGUCCGGAAUUAUUGGGCGUAAAGGGAGCGCAGGCGGGAAGGUAAGUCGGUCUUAAAAGUGCGGGGCUCAACCCCGUGAUGGGAUCGAAACUAUCUUUCUUGAGUGCAGGAGAGGAAAGUGGAAUUCCUAGUGUAGCGGUGAAAUGCGUAGAUAUUAGGAGAAACACCAGUGGCGAAGGCGACUUUCUGGACUGUAACUGACGCUGAGGCUCGAAAGCCAGGGGAGCGAACGGGAUUAGAUACCCCGGUAGUCC